GGAUGCAAAAGUCGUAACACGGUUUCCGUAGGUGAACCUGCGGAAGGAUCAUUCACACAUUCUGCUUCUCGCGGAGCUGGGGUUUUCUUUCGUCUCUGUCGCUUUUUGGGGCUGGAUGGAGGGAAACUUUGGUGCCGACGGGAUUGGCAGCUACUGAACGAGUUUUGACCAAUCUUUGAAUCGAUUGUUAUUCCUGCACGACGUUAUUUUGUAACGAAGAGAUAUUGAAGAGAUUUAGCCUGUAUUUCAAUGUGGAUAUGCAGGAAUGUGGGGUUUUAUGCUUGGGGGGGUUGUCGGCAGCGGCUUGGGGCUGCAUGCAUGAUCGGCAGCGGUGUGGGGCCGCCUUGCCCGGUCGGCAGCGGUCUGGGGCUGCCUUGGAUGGUCGGCAGCGGUCCGGGGCUGCCUUGCAUUGUCGGCAGCGGUCUGGGGCUGCAUGCGUGCAUGCAGCCCCGUGCAUGCGACAUGCUGCAGUGAAACUGGACAUUUCCGAUAGUGGUAUCCCUUCAGGCAUAUUUUUCCCGCGAGUUUUUUGUUUUCUACAUGCAAAAAAACUUUCAGCAAUGGAUGUCUUGGCUCACGCAUCGAUGAAGGACGCAGCUAGAUGCGAUACGCAUUGUGAAUUGCAGAUUUUAGUGAACCAUCAGAUUUCUGAACGCAUAUGGCGCUUCUGGGAUUUUCCCCGUAGCACGUCUGUUUCAGUGUCUCUUGACUCCUCCAAAAAAUACACUGCGAUAAAAGCAUGAAACAAGGCCUUAUGUGUCUUUGGUUUUUUGCUUUUUUAUGGUGGUAUCGUUUGCGUGUCGCAGCAAUAUGUAUAUUUGCAUGCGUCAUGUGAAGUUGUUUGUGGAUAUACUAUUAUUCACGUAUAAAAGCGGCACAUCGCUUAACUCUAUCCUUUCGUUUACGAAAGAGAUACGGUGGUGUGUAACAACUCUUUUGGAGUUGUGUAUGCUACUAUCUCGGACAAAAGUGAACGAAGGGCGGCAGGUUUUCCUGUUGUGAGUUGUGUGUAUUGUGCUUUUUAUGUGGGUAGUAUUUGUAUAUCCUGCUCCUUCCAUUCAUGAUGGUUUGGAUGUAUUAUUUGUUUUAGACCUGAAAUCAGUCGAGAUUACCCGCUGAAUUUAAGCAUAUUAUUAAGCGGAGGA
rnacentral:sRNA from 1 species